AUACGGAGGGUGCAAGCGUUACUCGGAAUCACUGGGCGUAAAGCGCGCGCAGGCGGCUAUUUAAGUUGGAUGUGAAAGCCUACGGCUCAACCGUAGAACUGCAUCCAAAACUAUUUAGCUAGAGUGUGGGAGAGGAUGAUGGAAUUAGUUGUGUAGGGGUAAAAUCCGUAGAGAUAACUAGGAAUACCAAAAGCGAAGGCAAUCUUCUGGAACACUACUGACGCUGAGGCGCGAAAGCGUGGGGAGCAAACAGGAUUAGAAACCCUAGUAGUCC
rnacentral:rRNA from 1 species